UAAUACGAAGGGGGCUAGCGUUGCUCGGAAUUACUGGGCGUAAAGGGCGCGUAGGCGGCUUGGCCAGUCAGGCGUGAAAUUCCUGGGCUUAACCUGGGGACUGCGCUUGAUACUGCCAGGCUCGAGGCCGAGAGAGGGUGGUGGAAUUCCCAGUGUAGAGGUGAAAUUCGUAGAUAUUGGGAAGAACACCAGUGGCGAAGGCGACCACCUGGCUCGGUACUGACGCUGAGGCGCGACAGCGUGGGGAGCAAACAGGAUUAGAUACCCUGGUAGUCCACGCCGUAAACGAUGUGUGCUGGAUGUUGGGGUCCCUAGGAUCUCAGUGUCGUAGCCAACGCGGUAAGCACACCGCCUGGGGAGUACGGCCGCAAGGUUGAAACUCAAAUGAAUUGACGG
rnacentral:rRNA from 1 species